GCCGAUGUCUGCUAGAGGCUAGGCACUCGGACUGUGAAUCCGAUAACGGGGGUUCAAUUCCCUCCAUCGGCACCA
rnacentral:tRNA from 1 species